rnacentral:tRNA from 1 species
GCCAUCAUAGUUCAGCUGGCAGAACACGACCUUGGUACGGUUGAGACCCGGAUUCGAUAACCGGUGAAGGCACCA